GGCAGGGGGGCCAGGAGGGGAGGGAGGGGGGAUGUCUCAUUAUGAAGAUGUCCGUCCAUCCAAAAAACUGCUAUGCUUAUUGAGGCCCUCCUUCCCAGAACAUGGCUGAACAUCAGUCAUUGAUGUGAAGUAGAAGGAAUAUACUUCUCUUCUUCUUAGGAGGAGGGAGAGUGGGAGAGCGGUUGUGGUGGAGUUUAGCUCCCCAGCAAGGUUAAGCAAUUAGUUAAGAAUACCACCCAGGAAUCUGCCCUGAGACAGUGUGGUGGUGGGUGCCAAGGUACGUAGGAGGAUAUGGGCAGGUACCUGUCACAGGUGUCUCCUCCAAUGGUUUUGAGCUUCACCCCUGAACAAGUGUGGAAUCCUAAAAAUCGGAUAGAAUGUUUGAAAGAUGUUUGCCCCGAACCUGGCAAUGCCAGAGAACUCCAUCUUCCUGCACUGUACUGGGGCGCGGCUUGCACCUAUCAGAGGGUAAUUAACACUACCCAGCACUAUGGUGCACUGGUGGCAAUAUUGCACCAACUCCCUGAUUCCCAUUCAUGGGCUGGUUCAUUGACCAGAGAGCUGAGGAGUGACCAGGAAGACUCACUCAUGCUUUAACAAUCCCAUAUGGCCAGUACAAAGGUCUAAUGGAGAGUGGAGGAUAACAGUGGACUAUCGUGGCCUGAAUGAAGUCAUUCCACUGCUGAGUGCUGGUGUGCUGGACAUGCUAGAACUUCAAUAUGAACUGGCCUCAAAGGCAGACAAUCAAUAUCGCUAAUGUAUUUUUCUCCAUCGCUUUGGCAGCAUGUGAAGGCCACAGUUUGCUUUCAGUUAGAGGGGUGUUCAGUACGCCUGGAAUCAACUGCCCCAGGGGUGGAAACGCAGCCCCACCAUUUGCCAUGGACUGAUCCAGACUGCACUGAAGCAGGGUGGAGCCCCUGAAUACCUGAAAAAUAUUGAUGAUAACAUUGUGUGGGGCAACACAGCAGAAGUUUCUGAGAAAGGGAAGAAAAUAAUCUAAAUUCUCCUUAAAGCUGGUUUUGCCAUUAAAAGGAGUAAGGUCAAGGGACCUGCACAGGAAAUCCAACUCUUGGGAGCAAAAUGGCAGGAUGGACAUUGUCACAUCCCAAUGGAUGUGAACUACAAAAUACUUGUGAUGUCUCUGCCAACCAGCAAAAAGGAAAUGCAAGCAUUCCUAGGACUUGUGGGGUUCUGGAGAAUGCAUGUUCCAGGUUACAGGCAGCUUUUAAGUCCUCUGUAUCAAGUGACUCUAAAAAGGAACUAUUUCGAGUGGGGCCCUGAGCAACAACCGACCUUUGAACAAAUCAAACAAGAAAUAGCCGGUGCAGUAGCCCGUGGGCCUGUCCUUACAGGACCAGCUGUACAAAAUAUACUUUACAUGCACGCAUGCAGCUGGGGAACAUGGCUUCACCUGGAGCCUCUGGCAGAAAAAAACAGAAGAAACUUGAGGUCAGCCUUUGGGGUUCUGGUGCCAGGGGUAUCGAGGACCAGAAAUCAACCUAACCAUAACCAACAGACCGUUUCAAAAUGGGAAUGAAAUGCAUUAUACAAAUUCAAAGUUCAUAAGACAUAGAAAGAAAGCAGAGUUUUGCUUGUUAUUCCAAUUCAUGACCAAAGUAAAUCGCUUGGCCACUGGUGCUACCAAAUAUAGUCUCUUCUUUA